UUGAACGCUGGCGGCAUGCCUUACACAUGCAAGUCGAACGGCAGCACGGACUUCGGUCUGGUGGCGAGUGGCGAACGGGUGAGUAAUACAUCGGAACGUGCCUAGUAGUGGGGGAUAACUACUCGAAAGAGUGGCUAAUACCGCAUGAGAUCUACGGAUGAAAGCAGGGGAUCGUAAGACCUUGUGCUACUAGAGCGGCCGAUGGCAGAUUAGGUAGUUGGUGGGAUAAAAGCUUACCAAGCCAACGAUCUGUAGCUGGUCUGAGAGGACGAUCAGCCACACUGGGACUGAGACACGGCCCAGACUCCUACGGGAGGCAGCAGUGGGGAAUUUUGGACAAUGGGCGAAAGCCUGAUCCAGCAAUGCCGCGUGCAGGAUGAAGGCCUUCGGGUUGUAAACUGCUUUUGUACGGAACGAAAAGCUUCGGGUUAAUACCCUGAAGUCAUGACGGUACCGUAAGAAUAAGCACCGGCUAACUACGUGCCAGCAGCCGCGGUAAUACGUAGGGUGCAAGCGUUAAUCGGAAUUACUGGGCGUAAAGCGUGCGCAGGCGGUUUUGUAAGACAGAGGUGAAAUCCCCGGGCUCAACCUGGGAACUGCCUUUGUGACUGCAAGGCUAGAGUACGGCAGAGGGGGAUGGAAUUCCGCGUGUAGCAGUGAAAUGCGUAGAUAUGCGGAGGAACACCGAUGGCGAAGGCAAUCCCCUGGGCCUGUACUGACGCUCAUGCACGAAAGCGUGGGGAGCAAACAGGAUUAGAUACCCUGGUAGUCCACGCCCUAAACGAUGUCAACUGGUUGUUGGGUCUUCAUUGACUCAGUAACGAAGCUAACGCGUGAAGUUGACCGCCUGGGGAGUACGGCCGCAAGGUUGAAACUCAAAGGAAUUGACGGGGGCCCGCACAAGCGGUGGAGCAUGUGGUUUAAUUCGAUGCAACGCGAAGAACCUUACCUGGUCUUGACAUCCACAGAACUUUCCAGAGAUGGAUUGGUGCCUUCGGGAACUGUGAGACAGGUGCUGCAUGGCUGUCGUCAGCUCGUGUUGUGAAAUGUUGGGUUAAGUCCCGCAACGAGCGCAACCCUUGCCAUUAGUUACUACGAAAGGGCACUCUAAUGGGACUGCCGGUGACAAACCGGAGGAAGGUGGGGAUGACGUCAAGUCCUCAUGGCCCUUAUAGGUGGGGCUACACACGUCAUACAAUGGCUGGUACAAAGGGUUGCCAACCCGCGAGGGGGAGCUAAUCCCAUAAAGCCAGUCGUAGUCCGGAUCGCAGUCUGCAACUCGACUGCGUGAAGUCGGAAUCGCUAGUAAUCGUGGAUCAGCAUGUCACGGUGAAUACGUUCCCGGGUCUUGUACACACCGCCCGUCACACCAUGGGAGCGGGUCUCGCCAGAAGUAGGUAGCCUAACCGCAAGGAGGGCGCUUACCACGGCGGGGUUCGUGACUGGGGUG
rnacentral:rRNA from 1 species